ensembl:lncRNA
UCCUUGGCCUCAUCACAUGUCUCAGUGGCUCCUCCUUAGGAGGGAGGGGGACACCACCACCGGACAGACUCAACACUCAUUGCUAGAGAUCAAACUUCAGACUCCCUCCAAAACCACUGAACCCCUCAACACACCGAAAGAGAUUACGGUGCACACCCUUAGAGGGAGCCGGAACAGAAUAACUCCCUCCAAACUCACAAAGACACAGAGGAGGAGGAACUAUCCAACACCCAGUGAGAGAGAACGAGUGACCUCAGUCGAACACAGCCAGAAAGUGUAGGUGGAAGAGGCGUUAGAUGGAGGAGGAGGUUACCCCAGAGGCCAUUCCUCCUGUUCAUGUGAGCAAGAAAGAGCAGAAGGCUUCUGAUCAGCCAAAUGGCGCAGCAGCACACUGCCCUCCAAAGCCUGCAAAAUAAUCGCCAGACUGCCCCUUUCCUAGCUCUGCAUGGAACAUCCAGUGUCAUGUCCUUGGUGACGUGUGGGGUGACCACAGCAUCAUCCUCUGGAAAGGGAAAAAAGGGGAACAGAUUGAAAACAAAUGCAAUCCGUAGCUUCUAAACACUGGCCAGUUGAAAGGUUCUACUAAGAUGUCAUGACAAACGGCACCUGUCAGAGUGCUCUCUAAGUGUUACUCACCUGCUUGGAUGUCAGCUGGCAGAGUGGCGGAGACGGCCAUCGUGAGAGUCCUUUCUUCAGGUGUGAGGUCCACAACCUCCAAGAGGGAAGAGAUGGGCUCUGCCUCUGUAUUAGGGGUGAUGUCCACCACAUUCAGGUGGGAAGAAGCCGGAUCUGCCUCUGUCUUAGGGGUGAUGUCCUCAACCUCCAGGUGGGAAGAACCCGGAUCUGUCUCUGUGUUAGUGGUGAUGUCCACAACCUCCAGGUGGGAAGAAGCCGGAUCUGUCUCUGUGUUAG